UUGAUUGGCUCACCUAACUUAUCUCUACUGAGUUUGUACAUUACAGAGGACUGCUUUCAUCCCUUAUCUCCUUUGCUUCUGCUAGCUCAAAGCUACCUGAUUUCUUCAAGGUUUCCUUGUCUUCUUCAGUUUAAGACUACAAUCUGUGAGAUCCUGAAGCUUAAACACCCUUCUCGUGAAAAGAAGGGGGCUCCUUGCAUCUUUUUCCUUUCUUUUGUAGAAAAUGGAAAUUAAAAAGAUGUGAGUAUAUGAGUAAGUGUCUGACAUGACACAGUAUCCUUUCAGGGUUGUCUUCUGUGGAGAAGUGAGAAAGUAAAUUUUCACUUAGCACAAAUGAGAUUGUAACUUAAGGACUUGUCUAUUUGGUAAUGUGGAUAUGAAUUAUUCUUCCAGUAAAUGAGAGGAGAAGUUGAGAAGGCUGAAAGAGCUUUAAAGGGCUGAGUAACCCAUUUUUUUCUUAGCAUUUUAUGUUGUGUGUAACAGUGAAAUUUAAGGAAGAGUAUUCUGAAACCAGUGUACCAGUGUCUCUGAGGAUGGGCAAACCAACUAAAAAAAAGAUUGAGAAAUAAAAGCACAAGUUUAUUUUUUUAUUUUAAAUCCCCCAAGCUGUUCCUCUUUGU